CCAUCCCUGACUGGGCUUGGCCAGAGGGACCCCACCUCUUUUCUCUGCACUUGGGGGCCCAAGAAGCUCCGGUUGCUGUGCAGACAUCCGUUCACGUGUCCUCCAGGUACAAGCCAAGGCGUCGGGAGAGCGUCUCCUGCGUGGGCCCGUGGCCUGAUGAGACUCCCAUGCGGAGGGUCCGGUCCCCAGAGGUCAGCGUCCAGCCAGACCCCGGAGACCGGCCGACAGGCAUGUCAUCCCAGCUGCACUGUGGGGGCCCAGGGGGUUGACCACCUAUGAGGAUUAAGGCCAUUCCCCAUCCCUCAUCUUGCCAAGCCAUCACCAGGCGGGGGUCGAGGACCCAGCAGGGCUCCCCAGUGGUUCCCGG
rnacentral:lncRNA from 1 species